UACGUAGGGGGCAAGCGUUAUCCGGAUUUACUGGGUGUAAAGGGAGCGUAGACGGUAAUGCAAGUCUGGAGUGAAAACCCGGGGCUCAACCCCGGGACUGCUUUGGAAACUGUAUAACUGGAGUGCCGGAGAGGUAAGCGGAAUUCCUAGUGUAGCGGUGAAAUGCGUAGAUAUUAGGAGGAACACCAGUGGCGAAGGCGGCUUACUGGACGGUAACUGACGUUGAGGCUCGAAAGCGUGGGGAGCAAACAGG
rnacentral:rRNA from 1 species